rnacentral:tRNA from 1 species
GGGAAUAUAGCUCAGUUGGUAGAGUGCUUGCCUCUCUUGCACAAUGCCCUGAGUUCAAUCCCCAGCAUUCCCC